rnacentral:rRNA from 1 species
CUACGGGGUGCUGCAGUUAGGAAUAAUCUACAAUGCACGUAAGUGUGAUAGUUUGAGCCAGAGUGCUUUUCAUUACGAAAAGCUUUUGUGAAAUGUAAAAAGUUUCACGAAUAAGGACUGGGUAAGACGAGUGCCAGCCGCCGCGGUAAUACUCGCGGUCCAAGUCGCAGCCAUUUUUAUUGGGUCUAAAACAUCCGUAGCUUGUUUAGUAAGUCUCUUGUGAAAUUUUGUAUCUUAAAUACAGAGCGUGCAAGAGGUACUACUAGGCUAGAGACUGGGAGACGUAAGAAGUACGUUCAAAGUAGCGGUUAAAUGUGUUAAUCUUGGACGGACUCACAAGAGCGAAGGCAUCUUACGAGAACAGUUCUGACAGUCAGGGAUGAAGGCUAGGGGCGCAAAACGGAUUAGAUACCCUAGUAGUC